rnacentral:rRNA from 1 species
CCUACGGAGAGCAGCAGUGGGGAAUAUUGGACAAUGGGCGAAAGCCUGAUCCAGCCAUGCCGCGUGUGUGAAGAAGGCCUUCGGGUUGUAAAGCACUUUCAGUGGGGAAGAAAGCCUUGGGGCUAAUACCCUCGAGGAAGGACAUCACCCACAGAAGAAGCACCGGCUAACUCCGUGCCAGCAGCCGCGGUAAUACGGAGGGUGCGAGCGUUAAUCGGAAUCACUGGGCGUAAAGCGCGCGUAGGCGGUCUGAUAAGCCGGUUGUGAAAGCCCCGGGCUCAACCUGGGAACGGCAUCCGGAACUGUCAGGCUAGAGUGCAGGAGAGGAAGGUAGAAUUCCCGGUGUAGCGGUGAAAUGCGUAGAGAUCGGGAGGAAUACCAGUGGCGAAGGCGGCCUUCUGGACUGACACUGACGCUGAGGUGCGAAAGCGUGGGUAGCAAACAGGAUUAGAUACCCUGGUAGUC